ACGAACGCUGGCGGCUGUGGAUAAGACAUGCAAGUCGAACGAGUUUAAUUCGAUAGACAUAUUAGUUUAAGCUAGUGGCGAACGGUGCGUAACACGUGAGUCAUCUGCCUGGAAGUGGGGGAUAGCUCGCCGAAGGCGAUUAAUACCGAUGUUGGUUGUAAAACUAAAGCCGGGGCAACCUGGCGCUUCUAGAUGAGUUCGCGGCUAUCAUUAGUUGGUGAGGUAAUGGCUUACCAAGACGACGACGGGUAGCUGGUCUGAGAGGACGACCAGCCACACUGGAACUGAGACACUGGUCCAGACACCUACGGGUGGCAGCAGUCGAGAAUUUUUCUCAAUGGGGGAAACCCUGAAGGAGCGACGCCGCGUGGAGGAUGAAUGCUUUCGGUUGUAAACUCCUGUCAUUUUGGGAACAAGGCUUACGUUAACUGCGUGGAGGACUGAAGUACCAAAGAGGAAGAGACGGCUAACUCUGUGCCAGCAGCCGCGGUAAUACAGAGGUUCAAGCGUUGUUCGGAUUCAAUUGGGCGUAAAGGGGCGUAGGCGGUGAAGUAAGUCUGGUGUGAAAUCUAGGAGCUUAACUCUAAACUGCACUGGAUAGGUUUGCUUGAGGACUGGAGAGGAGAUUGGAAUUCACGGUGUAGCAGUGAAUGCGUAGAUAUCGUGAGGAAGACCAGUGGCGAAGGCGGAUCUCUGGACAGUUCCUGACGCUGAGGCGCGAAGGCCAGGGGAGCAAAUGGGAUUAGAUACCCCAGUAGCCCUGGCAGUAAACGGUGCACGUUUGGUGUGCGCGGAUUCGACCCCGUGCGUGCCGGAGCUAACGCGUUAAACGUGCCGCCUGAGGAGUACGGUCCGCAAGCAUUAAAACUCAAAGAAAUUGACGGGGGCCCGCACAAGCGGUGGAGUAUGUGGCUUAAUUCGAUGCAACGCGAAGAACCUUACCUGGGUUUGACAUGCAUUGUGUCUUCGGUGAAAACCGGAUAGUGUAGCAAUACACGCUUUGCACAGGUGCUGCAUGGCUGUCGUCAGCUCGUGUCGUGAGAUGUUGGGUUAAGUCCCGCAACGAGCGCAACCCCUGUGAACUGUUGCUAAUUCGCUUCGGGCGAAUGCACUCUGUUCAGACUGCCCUGUGAACGGGGAGGAAGGUGGGGAUGAUGUCAAGUCAGCAUGGCCCUUACGCCCAGGGCUGCACACGUACUACAAUGCUCAGUACAGAACGAACCGAAAUCGUGAGGUGGAGGAAAUCCCUAAAACUGAGCCCAGUUCGGAUUGUAGGCUGCAACUCGCCUACAUGAAGCCGGAAUCGCUAGUAGUGGCGUAUCAGCUACGACGCCGUGAAUACGUUCCCGGGCCUUGUACACACCGCCCGUCACAUCAUGGAAGUCGCUUGUACCCGAAGUGGUCUGUGCUAACCGCAAGGAAGCAGGGCCCUAAGGUAUGAGUGGUAACUGGGAUG
rnacentral:rRNA from 1 species